CGGAGAGGUAGUGACGACAAAUAACUCUUGAAUCUCUUCGGAGGUUCUUGAAGGAAUGAGUAAGAGGUAAAUUCUCUUACAAAAUCAAUUGGAGGGCAAGUCUGGUGCCAGCAGCCGCGGUAAUUCCAGCUCCAAUAGUGUAUAUUAAAGUUGUUGUGAUUAAAACGCUCGUAGUUGAAUUAAAAAAUGUCAAAGUGGAAGGAAAUUUUUCAACUUGUUUGUAAAAUUUACUUUCAUAAUAAAUUGGCAAAAAGGUUAAUAUGAUUAUUUUGUAAUCAUAUAAUUACUUUGAAAAAAAUAGAGUGCUUAAAGCAAAACAUUUGUUAAUGAAUAAUGAAGCAUGGGACAAUGCUAAGGAGAUUCUUUUAGAAUUUCGAGAAAAGGAUUAAGAGGAAUAAUUGGGGUGAUUCAGAAAAUUUUGGGAGAGGUGAAAAUCCAUGAUCAAAAUAAGAUGAACGAGAGCGAAAGCAUUUCACUCAGUUAUAUCCAUUAAUCAAGAACGAAAGUUAGGGGAUCGAAGACGAUCAGAUACCGUCGUAGUCCUAACUAUAAACGAUGUCAACCAAGGAUUGGAUAAAUUAACGAAAUUAUUUCGGUUUAAUUCAACGAAUUAAACUAGAAAUGUUUCACUACUAACCUUAUUCAGAACUUAAAGAGAAAUCUUGAGUUAAUAGACUUCAGGGGGAGUAUGGUCACAAGGCUGAAACUUAAAGGAAUUGACGGAAGGGCACACCAGGAGUGGAGCCUGCGGCUUAAUUUGACUCAACA
rnacentral:rRNA from 1 species